rnacentral:rRNA from 1 species
AACGAACGCUGGCGGCAUGCCUAACACAUGCAAGUCGAACGAGACCUUCGGGUCUAGUGGCGCACGGGUGCGUAACGCGUGGGAACCUGCCCUUAGGUUCGGAAUAACUCCCCGAAAGGGGUGCUAAUACCGGAUAAUGUCUUCGGACCAAAGAUUUGUCGCCUUUGGAUGGGCCCGCGUUGGAUUAGCUAGUUGGUAGGGUAAAAGCCUACCAAGGCGACGAUCCAUAGCUGGUCUGAGAGGAUGAUCAGCCACACUGGGACUGAGACACGGCCCAGACUCCUACGGGAGGGAGCAGGGGGGAAUAUUGGACAAUGGGCGAAAGCCUGAUCCAGCAAUGCCGCGUGAGUGAUGAAGGCAUGAGGGUUGUAAAGCUCUUUUACCCGGGAUGAUAAUGACAGUACCGGGAGAAUAAGCUCCGGCUAACUCCGUG